rnacentral:misc_RNA from 1 species
UUAAAACCCUCUCCCACUUUGGUGUGCUGCAUUCAUGUGGCACUCCAGAGUAGGCAGGAGCCUGGACCAUUUGUUAAAUUCUGCAAUGGUCUGUAAUUGAUUGUAUGUGCUGCAAUCACUAUUUUGAUUGUCAAUGAAACAGCAACAGAUUUUUCUAAUACUGCUUUAUUGCAUUCGAGAUUGAUUUCAGGAUAUCAUCCAAUAACCACACAGAAUGUGCAACACCAUUGUGCUGUGCUCUCUGUCA